rnacentral:rRNA from 1 species
AAUGAACGCUGGCGGCAGGCCUAAUACAUGCAAGUCGAACGAGUCGCGGACGGGUGAACCAUGUCGGGAAACCUGCCUGAUGGAGGGGGAAAACUACGGGAAACGGUAGCUAAUACCGCAAACCAGCAGUUGUGCCAUGAUGGGAUUAGCUAGUUGGGGGGGUAACGGCUCACCAAGGCGACGAUCCCUAGCUGGUCUGAGAGGAUGACCAGCCACACUGGAACUGAGACACGGUCCAGACUCCUACGGGAGGCAGCAGUGGGGAAUAUUGCACAAUGGGCGAAAGCCUGAUGGAGCCAUGCCGCGUGUAUGAAGAAGGCCUUCGGAUUGUAAAGUACUUUCAGCAGGGAGGCGUUACCCACACAGGAAGCACCGGCUAACUCCGUGCCAGCAGCCGCGGUAAUUC